GUUUCCACCCUCAUCAAAAACCCGACGGACUUUGAGUGGCAUCUCAUUCAGUGCCACUUGGACUCUUGAAAACCAUUAAUAGUUCACAUUUUAAAACCCUGUUAAUACUAGAAUUCCACAUUAUUCCAGCCAUGUUGAAUUUUAGAUUUUGGAAGUCCUUUUUCAGUGAUUUACUUAGUGAUACACAAAGCAUUGAUAUUUCUUUAAGAUCUAUGUUUUUAUGUUCAUAAGCUUGUAGAAAUUAAUGAGUUAAAGCCAGUUUAUGUCACUGUAAACUGAAAGUCUUUAAUUUCUAUUCCAGUGUUAGUGAAACUAUAUAUUGACUUUGAAGGCCUAUUUUUUACCAGUUCUCUGAGAAAUGGUUUUGUGUUAUUUGUUUUGAAUGUUUGAAUACACUGGAAAUAUGUGUGGUUUGAGGCAUAGUGGUGCCUUUAAAUAAAAAUUCUGUUCUGAAGGUUA